rnacentral:rRNA from 1 species
CCUACGGGGGGCAGCAGUGAGGAAUAUUGGUCAAUGGUCGGGAGACUGAACCAGCCAAGCCGCGUGAGGGAGGAAGGUACAGAGUAUCGUAAACCUCUUUUGUCAGGGAACAAAGACUGGGACGCGUCCCCGGAUGAGUGUACCUGAAGAAAAAGCAUCGGCUAACUCCGUGCCAGCAGCCGCGGUAAUACGGAGGGUGCAAGCGUUACUCGGAUUCACUGGGCGUAAAGGGCGCGUAGGCGGGAUAGCAAGUCAGAUGUGAAAUCCUAUGGCUUAACCAUAGAACUGCAUUUGAAACUGUUAGUCUAGAGUAUGGGAGAGGUAGGUGGAAUUCGUGGUGUAGGGGUAAAAUCCGUAGAGAUCACGAGGAACACCGAUUGCGAAGGCGACCUGCUAGACUAUAACUGACGCUGAUGCGCGAAAGCGUGGGUAGCAAACAGGAUUAGAUACCCUAGUAGUC